rnacentral:rRNA from 1 species
AUUGAACGCUGGCGGCAUGCCUUACACAUGCAAGUCGAACGGUAACAGGUCUUUGGAUGCUGACGAGUGGCGAACGGGUGAGUAAUACAUCGGAACGUGCCUAGUAGUGGGGGAUAACUACUCGAAAGAGUGGCUAAUACCGCAUGAGAGCUACGGAUGAAAGCAGGGGAUCGCAAGACCUUGUGCUACUAGAGCGGCCGAUGGCAGAUUAGGUAGUUGGUGGGAUAAAAGCUUACCAAGCCGACGAUCUGUAGCUGGUCUGAGAGGACGAUCAGCCACACUGGGACUGAGACACGGCCCAGACUCCUACGGGAGGCAGCAGUGGGGAAUUUUGGACAAUGGGCGAAAGCCUGAUCCAGCAAUGCCGCGUGCAGGAUGAAGGCCUUCGGGUUGUAAACUGCUUUUGUACGGAACGAAAAGCCCCGGGUUAAUACCCUGGGGUCAUGACGGUACCGUAAGAAUAAGCACCGGCUAACUACGUGCCAGCCGCCGCAGUAA